CUAUCACAUGGCAGAGAUAGAAUAAAAACAGAAAAAUGGCGACGGUCACGUUGUGGCGAGCCUUGCUGCGUCAUUAGAUAAUCCUCAUGCAAAUAGCGGGAAGAACAAAGGAAGGGGGGCCCGGGACCCCCGGGGGCGCAGGAUCCGGCGGGAGGAGUCUGCGAGGAGGAGGCGGAGGACGAGGAGGAGGAGGGAGGGAGGAGAGAGGAAGACCGGAGUCCCCGCGGCGGCGGCGGGGAGCCCCGCGCGGCUCCCGGGGACCGGGCGCUGCCACGAGGCCGGGACGCUGGACGCUGGGGAAUCUUCGCUCACGCUGCUACCCUCACGCCAGCUGCCAGCUCCUCGGAGGAGGACCACACCUGUGCCUGUUCCCGCUUUGGAGGAGAGCCUCACCCCUUGCUGGGCUGUGACCCUAUUCUUUCUUCUGCUUCCUGACAUCCCGAACCAGAAGCGCAUCUUGUCCUUCACUUCAUGGGGAGCCUUCGGAGGGACUCGUGCAGCUGCCCAGAAAGGAUGCCGCCGGCCAACACAGUGACUGACAGGCUGCCCUGGCUCAGUUAUCACAGUGCUGAUGCUGUCAGUUCUAAAGGUACAGUACUGUGAUAACUGAAGGAUGGCAGCCAACUUGCCUUCCGUCACGGGAGUCCCAUGGUGCGGGAAAGGAAGACAGAGGUGAAAGAGGUGUGUGAAACGGGGCGCGGGCCCUUCCUACCCUAUUUCCAUAUUGUGCCUCCCCUAGAGCAUAGGGAGUUUAUUCCCCCCGUCUUUGCCGUGUUUUGUAACAUGGGGAUAAAGAGGACUUGGCUAGUUGUGUGCACAGGAGUGUGAAGACUGCUGUAGUGAGCAGACAUAUAUUGAGAUCUUCGGAACUUUUAAGAGACUGAUAUUGGGUAAGUACUACGUGUGAAUUAGUAUUUCUGGAAUGAUAUUCAGAGAAAUGUGGGCCAUUUUUGUAACUGUAAAAGGUAACCUGUUUAGAACAGCUCGACACUUGUUAAAAUUAGCUGUUCAAAAUUAAAUUCAACUGAAAUGGGGAGAGAAAAAAGCCCUGCAUGUUGAACAAUAUUGAUAUUAUUGCACGAAUAAAGUGGCAUCUUUGUGUUUAAGGAAUGCAUGGGGACAUGUCCUGUUUCUUUCAGGAACGUAAAAAAUACUUAGAGUCUAGUCUAAUUCAAAAAAUAGUUGAAUACCCAUGUUAUGGCUGCUGCUAUUACCUUUACAUGAAAAUAAAACGUAAAUAAUUGUAUCAAGCAGUUAAGGACCACUCUGCAAUGACAUCUCGAACAAAUUGAUGUCAGGGACAUGAAGCCGUACAUGCCAACCCUACGUCGGGUUUGCAUAGAAGACUAGGAAAUGAACAGAGCAUGCCGUCUUCAGCCCGCAUCCUGCUCCAGAGAGUACUGUUGGGGUGGGGGUGAGGUGAUUAGAGAACCCAGGAUGUCCCGCGUCUGUCCUCCCUUCAGACGCCUCAGGAAGCCGUGCUCGUGGAGCAGCGGCAGACGGGAAUCAAGGUGCGUGACCUCAGUCUGUGUUAGAUCUCAGUCCCCUGCAAGGCUUAGGUAAUUUCCUGUGGUUUAGGCUCAAUGCCUAAACAGAGACCUCUCCCCUCUUCCCAAACUCAUGUCUGUAUCUGGGAGCCUUACCGCCCCGUGGAUGGCUGAUGACUGUAGGAACCCAAAGCAAGCUGAGCUGAGCUCAGGCCCUGCUUGGACCUGCCUACCGCAGGCCAAGAAGAGCCAGGGAAGGGAAAACCCUAUGUAUGACCUUUUAAUGUUCAGAAACUUUACCCCAAAUCAAUGCAGCCUGGUCGAGAUCUCAGACUUGGGCCAUUUGUGUUACCAAGAGAGUGAAGGAAAAGGGACUGGAGGCGAGUAGAGAAGCCCAGCCUGCCUCCCCAUCCGGAGAAGAUCAGUCUGCCCUUCACGUAUGAGCUCAGGUGUUCCUGGUCACUGUGUGUGGUCGCCACUUCACACAAUUCUCUGUAGCCUCUCUUCCCUCCCCUUCUCCACCCGAAGAGGGACCAUUCCUAGGAGUGACCACUUGAGCCACACCUUCUUGGCCCUGGAUCAUUGUUUUCCACGUGGCAGUGACCACAUGAUAGCCCAGGACCUUCCCGUGCCUUCGUACAUUCAGAAUUUCUCUAAACUUCAGGCUGGACAGUGAUUAAUAACAGGGAUGGGUGGCUCUGCCCUGUUCCAUGUUAUACCACCAGGCCUGAAAUUCCUCAGCGUUUUCUGCUCCUUUAAACAGAAAAGGAAUUUCUGAUGGAAACCCUGGAAGAACUUCUGAGAGGGGAAAGUUCUGGGAUUGGUGAAUUCUCCAGUAACUUGAAACACUCCUAAGUUUUAGUGUUAUAGCAGGUGGAAAAAAAAGUACUCCAGGGAGGGAUGUGUUGUGCAAUCGUUGGCCUUGGUGAGAAUUUCAGCACCUUCCCCGAUCUUCCUGUUUUCCCGUUACUAGUUUCAUAAAAAUUCAGGUUUUGUACUUAGCCGGCCCUGACCCCAGGCUCCACACCCAAGCCUGUGGGAUGCUGCAGAGUCAAGUGGUGGGCGGAGUGGGGAACAACCCCUGCGUUUCUGCAGAUGGAGCCGCACUCGGUCCCGCCUCCUGUCAGCAGGAAAGCUUGAGGCCAGGGCUCCGGAAGGCUUGCCUAGGCCGGAGGUCGUUGGCGUCCUUGAGGCAGUUCAUUGGUGUAAGGCGUACCAACAGGUUAGGUGAGAGGCGAUGCAAGAGAAAUCUGAUUUUCCACUGCUUUGUUUAAAACACACACAAUGUGUGUUUCAUUGGGGUAUUCAUCGCGUGCUUUGGUUUGGGUAUGUGAGAAUGGGAAGAAUGGAAUUAAACAUAGAAGGAUCAUGUGAUCCAGCAAUUCCGCCUCUGGUUCUAUACCCGAAUGAAGGGACUCCAAACAGAUAUUUGUACACCCAUGUUCACGGCGGCAUUACUCACAACAGCGGAAAAGUAGAGGCAACCGGAGUGUCCAUCAAUGGAUGAAUGGAUAAGCAAAAUGUAAAUUAUUCAGCCUUCAGAAGGAAGGAAAUUCUGACACAUGCUACAACAUGGAUGAACCCUGACGAGAUGCCAAGUGAGAGAAGCCAGACACAAAAGAACAAAUAUUGUGUGAUUCCUCUUGCAUGAGGUUCCUGGAGUUGUCAACUGCAUUGGGCCAGAAAGUGGAAUGGUGGUUGCCUGUGGCUGGAGAGAGGGGGGAGUGGGAAGUGCACGUUUAAUGGGGACACAGUUAUUGGGGGAAAAUGAAAACAUUGAGAUGGAUGGCAAUGGUUGCACAGCAGCAUGAAUGUACUUAGUGCCGCAGAACUAUACGCUUAAAAAUGGCUAAAAUGGUAAAUUGUAUGUAUAUUUUACCACGAAAAAAAAGCAUUCCCGGGUAAUAGCACUGUUGCAGCCAACAACAGGAUUUAGAUUGCUCUCGUCUUGAGACAGUCUUUAGUGUGAAGAUAACUGUGAUUUCAAGUAAGCAAUUAAGAUGUAAUUCCCGUGUCUUUAUGCAUUUAAAAUUCUCUAAUCUGUAGACUGUUAGACGUAUUUCCAGAGUUUCUGACAUAGCAUAGCUUUGAAGUUUUGUAAAAUAUAAAGAAAGCUGAGUAUAAUAACAGUGACAGUACUAAAAGCAGAAUCAGAAAAAGCCUCAAGAAGAAGUCACGAAAGGGGGCCAGCCUGGUGGCAUAGAUGCCCCCUCAGGGGCUAGUGGGGAGAUGGACGCCAUCCUGAAGCAUGGGCCUCUGGCCAGUGGGCUGGUCCACGUAGCAAGCCUUCUGGAACUUCACGAAGGGGUGAGCCGUCGUGCUCGUGCAGCGCUUUUUUGGAGAAUGUCGUUUCAGCAGAACCAGCUCCCAGAUUCACUGUGGAUGGUCAUGAAAGGAAACAACCAGGAGAGCCAGCAGCGGGGGAGGGAGUGGUGGAGAGACCACCUCGUUCCGCCCCGGCUCCUGGAGGCGCGGGCUCACCUCAGCUGGAGAAGGGGCAGGGCCCUGUGUUGAAAGUGGGGUUAAAGUCUUCAUCAAAACGGGAUGUUCAGCCACAGAAGCUGGGGAGAGGUCCAUCUGAGAUGUUCUUACUACUCGAGGAAAGGAGAGGUUAGAGCAGAAAAAUAGGG
ensembl:lncRNA